AGAUGAAUCAUUUUGCAUUGGUUGAUGGAAAGCCAUAUCCUUUCGAUAUGAGAGGUGAGUUGGAUGACACUGGUGCUUUCAAGAACUUCAGUAAGUACAUUCACUUUACGUUGUUAUUACCAUGAAUCAUGAGCAUAUGAGCUAACAAAUCCUUUGAAGUUUGAACUAUAUCAGGAAAAGUUUAAGUGUUUGACAAAUCAAAUGAUGGAGCUAAUAUAUUAGAGUAUUUGCAGAAGAUUUGUUCAGUGAUAUUGGGGAAUUUUUGAUUUUGCAGGCUGGAAUUUUGUGUAAUGCGUGCAUUGGUUCAAUUUUCAGGUAUGCAUUUUAGUUGUUUAUUGGAAGAUUGAUGAUGUGUGGUGUUGAUGGAAAAAGUUAUCUGUACUUGACUUUGACUUAUUAAUAAAUCGGUUCUCUGCUAAAGAUAGUAACAAUUGUGUCAAAUUUUUACAAGAAUUUAUGACAGUACACAUUGUUCUGAUUUUUUCCAUUGAGCGUUGCCAAAAACAAUAUCCAAUUGAAUAGUAGGGAGUUCUUUGGUCAAUGAAUUGAGUACAGAAAAUUAGGGAGUUCUUUGGUCACUGUGGACUACAAAUUGGAAACAUUUGGUACUUCAGGUCUAAGAUUUCAAUAGUUUUAGAUAUAGCUUGAGGCCCAAUAUUGAAACAUUGAAAUCUUCAGUGAUCAUUAACUUACAAGGUCUGAUAGGAUUCAGUUCAAAAAGGGUCAUAUUAACAAAGGAAGUUUGGAAACUGACACCUGCAUUUCAAUAUCAAAAUGUAUGUCUAAAGUUUAGAUGAAUAUUAAAUACUUUCGAUUUUGAGUCUUAGCUGCUUGCAUUAUAAUACACGCUCAUUGCAUCCCUUUUUUGUACGUUUUGAUUUAGAUUUAUGCUGCUAUUGGAAAUGUUGGUGGAAGGGAGUUAGCUGUCAUCUUUUUAGUUCUUAUAUUUAUUUAGAACUACUCAGAAGGAUCUGUUUCAGAUGGAAGCAAUAGCUGAUAUUGUUGAUUAUUCAUGAGGGGUAAAAUACUCUUAACAUGUUUACUUAUCGUUUACUAUUUAUUUCAUUUACUGUUUGAAAAUGCUAGAUAUGUUUCUUCCACUGAAAAGUUCUCUGUGACCAGGAGACUACCAAAGGUUGCAGGAAAGUCUACAAUUGAACAUCAAGUUUGGAUAAUGAGUUUCUGAUAAUUUUGAAAUAUAUGUGAGAGCAUUAUAACUUUCAACAACAUUUAAACACUUUAAGACCAUUACUGGUUUUCAUAAAUGUGUUGUGGAGCUAUUCAAAAUAAUGAAGGACAAUAUUGAGCUUGCAGUUUUUGCAGAAGAAUUUUAAUGGGAAAUAUAUAUCAGUGUUGUCAAUGCGUAGGAAACUAUCAUUAAAGCUUUGAAUGGUGUUGAUCAUCCAUCUUUAACAAGUCUCUUCUAUUUACUUUGGCAGCAUUGAAACCCUCCAAUGCUGGUAUCAGGCCUACUUAAUUGUUUGUUCAGUUUCAACUGUUUAAGGAACAUGAGCAUAUGAGCUGACAAAUCAAUUGAUCUAUUUCAGAAAAAGUUUCUGUGUUUUGACAAAUGAAAUGAUUCAGCUAAUAUACUGUAGAGUAUUUGCAAAAGAAUUGUUCAAUGGGGAAUAUAUCAGCUUGGUUGAUGCUUUGGGAACUAAGCAUAAAGCUUUUAAUGGUGUUAAUUAUCCGUCUGUACCAAGCCCUUUAUUUACUUCGGUAACAUUGGAGGAAUAUGAUUUCAGUAUCAAGUCUAUGCAAUAGUUUGUUCAAUUUGAUUCAACUGUUUAAAGGAUGAGCUUAUGAGCUUACGGGUCCAUUGAACAGUUAGCUUAUGAGCUUUUUUAUAUAUUCACGUUUGUCCCAAUCUGAUAUUUGUGGCCAUUUGUACAUGGUUCAGAAUAAUAUUCUUCCUCGGGAAUCUUUGUAGAGUAUUCAAGGCAGCGAGAACUAAGUCACCCAUAACAAUCAAAACACAAAUUAGUAGACAAUUGAGAGG
rnacentral:lncRNA from 1 species